AUGGCCGACUCUCCUCUCAACAACUCCUGGCCGUCCUUCUCCAGGCUGUGGAUGAAGAGGUGGUCCUUCAAGAGAGCGUCAGAGUGUAAGCCUUAUAGUGGACAAGAGCGUGUUCAUCUUCAUGCAACAACAACAACAACAUCAACAACAACAUCCCCCACCUCGCCAUCAUCGCCUGCAUCCAUCACUGAGGACGUCUUCUUUGGUGCAACCAACAAGGAUCAGGACGCAAGCUCAGUGGUGAGCGAGGACGACCUGAGAGGCGUGGAAGUGGGCAGCAGCGCGGAAGACCUCAGCUCUUUUUUGGGAGACUCAGACUACUUCAGGCACCUGAAUGCUGACCUUGCAGGGCCCCUAAAAGACAGCGGCUCCCAGACCACAGCGCCCCCUGUGGUCUGCCGGUCCCCAUCGCCCUCACUGGCGCCCCCUGCUGAGGAGGCACCCGGCGGCACCCUGGUGGUCACCCAGCUGCGUCCCAGCCGCUCCCCCAGCUGUGUGACGGACUCCUCGGGCCCCGGGGUCGGGCUGAGUUUGACAAUUCAUCUGAACGGACUGCUGGGACCCAUGGAAACUACGGAGAACACCAAAACAAAGCAGAACACCAAACAUUUCACCGCACAUGCCGAGGUGGACAGUUUCCCCGGUUUAGCAAGAUCCAUGUCCACGUCACGGCGACACAGCUGGGGGGUCCCGGUGGCCCCCAUCAACCUGGCCAGGAGACUAAGUCUAGACAACAUGGCCAUGGGCAGUGCAGAAGAGUUGCAGUGCCGUCAUCAGAGGCAGAGGACAGACACUUUGUGUGGCCAGGAGGAGACAAGUCUGUGCAGUCCUGCUAAGGCUGCAGGCAAGCAAGUUUACUCUCGCUCAGACAUCCUGGCCAGCGAGGCGUGUUGUCGUGCUGCUCACAUCUCUCACGUCCUGCACUCCUCCACACAGGCGGCCAGGGCUGCAGGAGAAGAGUUCGACCCUGAGGAACACCUUCACUCCACUGAGGGCCAAAGUCACAUGCUGAUGGUACAGAAAGUUCUGCAGGAGCUGAAGUUGUACCACGGAGCCAAGCAGAGAAGCAACAAAACCCACAACAAAGAGAAUGUCACAUGGUACGAGUUCCUGUCCAACGACAGGAACGAGGAAGAGGACGAUCGAGCUGAGAAGGUGGAAAAAGGUACCAAGGUGAAGCGGACGCUGAGCUCGUUGAGGAACAGGAUGACAGGGUCCUUCAGCAAAGAAAAGGGUAAGAACCGAGACAAAGAGCCCCAGCAAAGGGCCAGGGAGAAGGAGGCCCAGGAGACCGAGGGCAGCCACGGCAACGGCCACGUUUUGGCGCUGGGCACUUUCUCCAGCUGUGCCACCUGCUCGCUGUGCGGCAAGACUCUGCAGAAAAAGCACAGCCUGCAAUGCAUGAAUUGUGCUGUGAAUGUUCACAAGAGCUGCAAGUCUCUGCUGGGUGAGUGCACCAGCACCAAGAACAAGAGAGAUUCUUUAUCAAGGACAGGCCUGUCUGGAUCCCCUAAUAUUGCACUGAAAGAGCGGGCCAGAGAGCACGAGCAGUCGGGCACACCCUCGUCACAAACCCAACUGAAUGGGAACCCAACUUUCCCCGGCGCCCCCGGCAUGACCAUCAUUCCUCGGGGACCAAGUAACCAGCCCAGUGCGUCCUGUCCUGCAGCGCCCAACUCAAACCUCAGCAUCCCAGCGACCUGUGUGUUGUCUCUCAGAACUCUCCACGGGGAGAUGGAUGAAACCGACGCCCUUCGCUCCAAGCGCUGCAACGAAGACACCAUUUCCCUCGUCCCCUCCACCACGGAGUCCAUCAUAGUGGAAGAUGCUCACUACGCUGCAGUACGGGCUGAUCUGGAGUCUGAUGCGCAGGACCUGGAAGCAGAGUCCUGGAGUUUGGCUGUUGACCAGCAGUAUGUUAAGAAACACUCCAAAGAGGCCACGAAGAGACAGGAUGUCAUAUAUGAGCUGAUGCAGACGGAAAUGCAUCACGUCCGCACGCUGAAGAUAAUGCUGCGCGUCUACGUCAAAGAGUUGAAGGAGAACCUCCAGCUGGAUUCAAGCAGGCUGGACUGUCUCUUCCCACGCUUGGAGAACCUCCUGGACCUCCACACGCAUUUCUUGUCUCGUCUCAAAGAACGCCGGCGAGACAACAUUGUUUCGCCCGCCGACGCCAACUAUACGGUCGACAGAAUAGCAGACAUACUAAUUGCACAGUUUUCAGGUGAAAUAGGUGAGAAGAUGAAGGAAUGUUACGGGGAUUUCUGUAGUCACCACACGGAGGCAGUGGGCUACUACAAAGAACAGAUGCAAGCAAACAAAAGGUUCCACAGCAUCAUACGGAAAAUCAACAACCUGUCCAUCGUGCGGCGGUUAGGAGUAUCCGAGUGCGUUCUGUUGGUGACACAGCGCAUCACCAAGUACCCAGUGCUGGUGGAGCGGAUUCUGCACAACACUGAAGUUGGUACCGAGGAUCACACGGAGCUGACCCGAGCACUCGGCUUAAUUAAAGACACUAUUGUUCAAGUGGACGCCUUGGUGAAUCUGCACGAGAAGAUGUGUCGCCUUCGUGACAUCCACAACAAGAUGGAGCCGAAGGCGCUGGGGAAAAUCAAAGAUGGCCGGGUGUUUCGCCGGGAGGACUUGGCACAAGGUCGGCGACGGCUACUGCAUGAAGGGACGGUCAACUGGAAAGCUGCUUCUGGCAGGCUCAAAGAUAUUCUUGCUGUUCUCCUCUCAGACGUGUUACUGCUGCUGCAGGAGAAGGAUCAGAGAUACGUGUUUGCUACAGUGGACAACAAGCCGUCGGUCAUCUCGCUUCAGAAGCUGAUUGUGAGAGAGGUGGCCCACGAAGAACGAGCCAUGUUUCUGAUCUGCGCUUCCUCCAACGAGCCGGAGAUGUACGAGAUCCACACGGCCUCCAAGGAGGAGAGAAACACGUGGAUGACACUCAUACGGCAGGCUGUUGAUAGCUGUCCUCAUACCGAGGAGAGGCUGUUCAGUGAGGAGGAAGAGGCUCGAGCUUCCAGGUUUAAAGAAUUUCAAGAACGGUUGAGCCAGAAGGAUGCCGUCAUCGUCCAGGCACUUUCUGAGAAGCUGCAGCUUUUUGCAGACAUGGCAGACACUGUCGCGGGUCUGGAGGACGCUGCUUCUCGCUCCAAACUGCUGUUACGGGGCGAUGCCUCGGAUCUCCAGCAGGGGGAGACAUUGCUGAAAGGAGCCAUCACCGAGGUGGAAAACCUGCAGAAUUUGCUCCAAUCUGGAAUAAGGGAGGAGAUGCAGGAUGAAGAGAGCGGCUCUGGACUGCUUCCUAGAAGAGCAGACACCUUUGGGGGCUACGACAGCAUCCUCACCACGAAUGGCAGUGUCAAGAACAACUUUUCUGGCGAGUCCAGAAACCGAGACCGAAGCCAGCGGGCCAGCUCUGACCCUCAGCUCAAAGAUCUGUGUGGCAGCCGGACUCUGGAGCAGACGGUCAACGAAAGGUGCCACACUCCAACCAGAUGGAACCGGAUCUGGUGCAGCUCGUACCCUGAGGCAGAGUUCUUUGACCGAGUACUAAUGCUUUCUCAAAGGCUCUACAGUCUGCAGGCCAUCAUAUCGCAGCAGGACAGCCACAUGGAGCUGCAGCGUGUCUCGCUGACGGAGCGAGCCUCCCUGCCCGGCCGCCACCGCGGCAACGUGCUCCUGGAGCAGGAGAAGCAGCGGACGCUGGCCCUGCAGAGAGAGGAGCUCGCCAGCUUCCACAAACUGCAGUCCCAGCAUCGGCAAGAGCAGCAGCGCUGGGAGAAGGAGCGUGCCAGGCACCGCCAACAAGUGGAGGCCACGGAGGCCAGGCUGUGGCAGAGGGAGGAGGAGUGCAGGCGCUUGGAGGAGCGUCUGGCAGAAGAGAGGGUGGAGCUGGAGAGGCAAAGGGAGACCUACCAACAGGACCUGGAGAGGCUGAGAGAAUCCACCCGGUCUGUUGAGAAGGAGAAGGAACGCCUGGAACACCAGAAGAAGAUCAAGAGGAAAACCAUCGAGGUGGUUCCUCUGGCAGGCAGCCUAAACGGGGAUCUCCUCUUAUCCUCUGGCCUCAGCGGCUCCACCGGCCUCUCUGAAGCCCCCCUGCCCCAGAAGCCCCUUGUGCGUGGCAGCCUCUCCGUGGCACCGGCUGACUACUCGGAGCGGCCUGAGGUGACGUUGCGGCGGGACGCCAGCUCCUCCACCCUGCCGUUGAAGACCGAGGUGCCGCUCCACCUCUUCAGCACCACCAACCAGCAGCACAAACUGCUGGGGGUGCAGCAGCAGAUCCCCACCAAACUGGCCGCCCUCAGCAGCGGCAAAGGGAAGGGAGUCAAGAGCGGCAAGGCCUCGCAGCGUACUGACAGCACUGCCUCCGUGGACAUGAAGCAGAUUCUUCCUCUGAAGCUGUCAGCUCGCGACGACAACGCCCUCAAAGCCAAGCGCUCCGUCAGCCCCAACCAGCAACCCCUGUUGUCUGCUGCGCCUCCUAUGCCGCCCUCCCUGCAUCAUCACUUAGAUCCAAGCCCUCCAGACAUUUCCGGACCGGAUUCCCAAUCUACCGUUCCUAGCACCGGCCACCCUGCGACUCUCCACAAGCCUCCCGUGCCUCUCGCUCAGCCUCACUCCAUCCUGCCGGCCCAGGUGCAGCCCCAGGGCCUCUGCCCUGACCCCCACAUGCCGCUACCGCCGCCCUACAUCAGCACAGAAGACCUCAACAAGGAAGAUGUCAUCUUCUUCUGAAUUCACAUCAGCGGACGCCGGUCUUAUUUUAUUUACUCUCCUCUAAAGCCCAAACAUUUGGCUUCUUUUCAUGAAUCGAUCCAAAGAUGGCAGCCAUUGUCAGUGAAAGAAGUCCAAUGAUGUGAAGACCAGACUGACGUAGACUUGGCGUGUGCGUCAAGAGGAACACUUGCUUGGUGGUUCAUUUGCACAGUGUCAUUAAACAUGUCGACUACACUUUUUCUCAUUGGUGGAAAAGGAGGCAGUAAAUUUGCUUUUGAUGGCUGGAGCAAUGGUGCCACCAUUAAGAAGAUUGGAGUGGCAGUGACCGAUUCGCUACACGCUAGCCUUGACCUUCCACAUCCGUUCCAGCUGCUCUUUCAGCCCUUGGUACUUCUCAAGUUUCUCGUGUUCCUUCUUCCUGAUGUUGGCGUCAGCUGAGAUUGCCACAUCUAUCUAUCUGCUCUUUGUCCACCACCACCACCAUGUCUGGUUGGUCAGCCAGAAGCUGUUUGUCAGUCUGGAAGCUGAAGUCCCACAGAACCUUGGCCCUGUUGUUCUCAGCCACCUUCUGUGGUAUGGCCCAUUGGGAUUUGGGUACUUCUAUUCCAUACUGGUAGCAGAUGUUCCUGUAUACUAUCCCAGCUAUUUGGUUGUGCCUCUUCAUGUACACUGAUCCAGCUAGCAUCUUACAGCCUGCUACAAUGUGCUGGACUGUCCCAGGGGCUUCUUUGCACAGUCUGCAUCUUGGGUCUGAUCUACUCUGGUAGAUCCUGGCCUCUAUGGCUCUUGUGCUUAUGGC